AAUCUGGAUUUGACCUCUGUGGGUUCAUUCCCACAGUGCUGUCGGAGAAGUUUUUCAAACUUGAGCGUUUAGAGGAAGUAAAAGUCGUAACAAGGUAGCUGUAGGUGAACCUGCAGCUGGAUCAUUA
rnacentral:rRNA from 1 species